UACAGGGGGGGCAAGCGUUGUUCGGAAUUACUGGGGGUAAAGGGCUCGUAGGUGGCCAACUAAGUCAGACGUGAAAUCCCUCAGCUUAACUGGGGAACUGCGUCUGAUACUGGAUGGCUUGAGUUUGGGAGAGGGAUGCGGAAUUCCAGGUGUAGCGGUGAAAUGCGUAGAUAUCUGGAGGAACACCGGUGGCGAAGGCGGCAUCCUGGACCAACACUGACACUGAGGAGCGAAAGCCAGGGGAGCAAACGGG
rnacentral:rRNA from 1 species